UACGUGGGGAGCAAGCGUUGUGCGGAUUUACUGGGCGGAAAGGGCGCGUAGGCGGUCAGCACAAGUCAGUUGUGAAAUCUCCGGGCUUAACUCGGAAAGGUCAACUGAUACUGUGCGACUAGAGUGCAGAAGGGGCAACUGGAAUUCUCGGUGUAGCGGUGAAAUGCGCAGAUAUCGGGAGGAACACCGGUGGCGAAGGCGGUUCUCUGGGCAUUACCUGACGCUGAGGAGCGAAAGCAUGGGGAGCGAACAGG
rnacentral:rRNA from 1 species